rnacentral:rRNA from 1 species
AAUGAACGCUGGCGGCGCGCCUAAUACAUGCAAGUCGAGCGAGAAGACGUAGCAAUACGUUUGUAAAGCGGCGAACGGGUGAGGAAUACAUGGGUAACCUACCCUCGAGUGGGGAAUAACUAGCCGAAAGGUUAGCUAAUACCGCGUACGCUCCUUGGACUUCGGUUCAGGGAGGAAAGCGAUACCGUGGGUAUCGCGCUCUUGGUUGGGCUCAUGUCCUAUCAGCUUGUUGGUGAGGAACGGCUCACCAAGGCUUCGACGGGUAGCUGGUCUGAGAGGACGAUCAGCCACACUGGCACUGCGACACGGGCCAGACUCCUACGGGAGGCAGCAGUAAGGAAUAUUGCGCAAUGGGCGAAAGCCUGACGCAGCGACGCCGCGGUGGGGGAUGAAGGUCUUCGGAUUGUAAACCCCUUUCGGGAGGGAAGAUGGAACGAGCAAUCGUUCGGACGGUACCUCCAGAAGCAGCCACGGCUAACUUCGUGCCA